rnacentral:lncRNA from 1 species
AUCAUGUUUCCACAGCAAAUUUUUGAGUCAUCAAAACCCUUUCCUCUCCCAGGGAGAAGAUUGGACAACAGUAUCACCACUUGCUGUUCUUUGGAAUUACGGCCGUAAGCUCUGGGGACUGACACAUAUCUGAUACACAGAAGGGAAGGCUGUGCAUAUCAGCAUCAGCCUACUUCCACCUCAUUAUUUCCUCAGAAUGGCUGUUUCCAUCCAAGUGAUUAUUUGAGAGCUUUUGACUGAAAUGUGGGCACACAGGUCUUUUCUCCCAAACUUCCAUUAUAACCAUGGUCUGGAAUUUGUUAUCGGGACCAAACAACAAAACCAAUGGAGGGGGCCUGUGCAGCCAAGAAGAGAAACGUUUGUGUUCAACGUUGAGGAUUUGAAGCAGAUUUGAUUGAGGGUUCCAAAAAAAUGGUGCUGCUUUGUGAAGUUGCAUUGUGAGCUCUUGGCUGGGACCGUGACGGAAAUGCUUCCAGAGGAAAAAGCCCCAGAGAAAAUAAAUGCUAAAGAUGUCUUCA